UAAGGAAUAUUGGACAAUGGAGGCAACUCUGAUCCAGCCAUCCCGCGUGCAGGAUGACGGCCCUACGGGUUGUAAACUGCUUUUGCGAGGGAAGAAACGACGCCAUUUAUGGUGUUCUGACGGUACCUCGAGAAUAAGCACCGGCUAACUCCGUGCCAGCAGCCGCGGUAAUACGGAGGGUGCAAGCGUUAUCCGGAAUCACUGGGUUUAAAGGGUGCGUAGGCGGCAUAGUAAGUCAGAGGUGAAAGGCCGUCGCUUAACGAUGGAAUUGCCUUUGAUACUGUUAUGCUUGAAUCAAGUUAAGGCUGGCGGAAUGUGGCAUGUAGCGGUGAAAUGCAUAGAUAUGCCAUAGAACACCGAUUGCGAAGGCAGCUGGCUAGGCUUAGAUUGACGCUGAGGCACGAAAGCGUGGGGAGCGAACA
rnacentral:rRNA from 1 species